GGAGGAAGCAGGGGAUCGCAAGACCUUGCGCUUUUGGAGCGGCCGAUGCCUGAUUAGCUUGUUGGUAAGGUAAAAGCUUACCAAGGCUUCGAUCAGUAGCUGGUCUGAGAGGACGGCCAGCCACACUGGGACUGAGACACGGCCCAGACUCCUACGGGAGGCAGCAGUGGGGAAUUUUGGACAAUGGGGGCAACCCCGAUCCAGCCAUGCCGCGUGAGUGAAGAAGGCCUUCGGGUUGUAAAGCUCUUUCAGCCGGAACGAAACGGUUACGGUUAAUACCCGUGACUAAUGACGGUACCGGAAGAAGAAGCACCGGCUAACUACGUGCCAGCAGCCGCGGUAAUACGUAGGGUGCGAGCGUUAAUCGGAAUUACUGGGCGUAAAGCGUGCGCAGGUGGUUUUGUAAGUCAGAUGUGAAAUCCCCGGGCUCAACCUGGGAACUGCGUUUGAAACUACAAAGCUAG
rnacentral:rRNA from 1 species